ensembl:lncRNA
UUUUUUUUUUUUAAGAACCUCCCUUUCUAGGAACUCACCAUCAAUUGAACAGGGUUGGUAUAUGAGACUGUACCUUAGUACACGCUGCUUAGUACAUGAGGUUAUCUACCCUAAUGUGCCUUGCCAAGCACUUAGGCCCAUCCAGUAUAUAAACAACUAGCCACAGGCCCACACAAUUAAAAUGUCAUUCGUCUGCAUGAUCUGGCUGCAUUUUAGCCACUUUUGCUUCUUGACCUAAGCUCAAAGAAGAUAAUGAUGACUUCAUCUUCAAUAAGCUCAAAGCUUUUGGAAGAGGUAGAAAUACUAUAUCCCAAAGGUAUUGUAGACUCUUUGGUCCAAGGUGCCAUCAAUCAUGUAAGUAUGGGUUUGGUGGAAAAAAUACUGGGAAUCCUCCUACUCUCAACCAACGUGAGGAAGAAACAGUAGAAGACUAGUUCAGGAGAUAGGGCAUUGGGCAGAAAGAAAAAGGCUCCCAAACUCCAAAUGUCACCAGUGAAGCUGAGCUGCACCCACCCACUGAUACUACUGUAGCUCUAUGGAAUAGUGGGGGAAGAAGAAAAAGGAAAGAGACUAGGAGCAGGGAUUUCAACUUGAUCUAGUCCCUAGCCAUCUAAGACUUCUGUCAGAGGCUUCAGUUUGGCCUUUCUCCAGCUCAGACUAACUUUCUUAAGUUAUAGCUUAUAUCAUGUCACUUGUAUAUCAUGGCCUUCCUCUCCUCCAUCCCUUCCCUCCCUGAGAGGCCACUAGUAGUCAGGUGCUAUUUUAAGCUCUGGGGUUACAGUAAUACAUAAGUUCCAGUUCCCAUGGAGUUUACAUCCAAGUAGGGGAAAAAAUCUAAAAAUAAAUAUAUAUUUAUCAUCUAUCUAUGAAUGAAUGAACCAACAAAUGAUUCAAAGUCAGGCAGAGAUAAUUACUCUGAAGACAGGGCAGGGAAGGCCUCUCCAAAAGCAGUAAUACAUGAGCAGAGAUCUGGGUGAAGUAAGCGUACAGAGCCACGCCAAACUCUGGGAGAAGACUAUUUCAGGAAAGGAGGAGGAAAUUUGAAGACCUGGGGCUAGAAUGAGCUCAACAUAUUCCAAGAUUGGCAAGUUUAGUGUGGCUGGAAAAGAAUGAGUAAAACAGAGACAAGUGGAGUGUAAGAUGAGGUCACAGGGAAAUGCAUGGGUCAGAUCAUGGUAUAACUUUGUAGGUCAUGGUAAAGGCAUCUGAACUUUAUACUGAGUGUUAUGGGAAACAAAUGGUGGUUUAUAAGCAGGAGAGUGACAAGAUAUGGUUGAAAAGGUCCCUUUGGUCGCCAAGUGGAAAAGUGACUACAAAACUACUAAGAAUGGGAGCAUUGAGACCACUCAGAAGGCUAUUACAGAAGACCACAUGAUAUAGUAUUAUGGUGGCUUAGACAGGAGUAGAAAUGGUGGUGAUGGCUCAAAUCUCAACCCAAUUAGGCCCACACUCUGAAGUCUAGCACACAGGUCCUUGCAUAAUGGAACACCAAACUACCCAACCAGUCCCAUCUCUAAUUAGUCUCACACACUCUCUUCUCUUCAAUAAUAUAGUACAGUUUUUAUGUUCUCUGAAAUGGCCCACACUUUCUAACUUCUGUACCUGCUCACAUUGUUUUCUCUGCUUGAAAUGUACUCCAACUUCCAUUUCUGACAAAAAUCUAUCAAUCCUCCCAGAUCAUCUACAUGCCAAUGACACAGAACCUUUCUUGAGCUACUCAUCUUCCUGUGAGCUCUUCUACCUUUGAACUCCAAAAGCUCUUUGGUUAUGUCUUUUAAGUGGCUUACAAAAAAAAUACCUUCAAACGAGGGAUCUCAGCAGGUUAUCUGUGAGUCCACUGAAAUUUCAUGGAAAAUUUGAAGACGUGCACGUAAGGGCAUUUUCUCAGAAGACAGUUCAUGGUUUAUCAUCAGAGACCCAGAGAGCAAUAAGAUUUGCCCCAGCCUCUAUCCUCAUAAAAGGUUAAAAAUCUUUAUGUUAGAGAAAAUGUUC